UACGGAGGGUGCAAGCGUUGUCCGGAUUUAUUGGGUUUAAAGGGUGCGUAGGCGGCCUUAUAAGUCAGUGGUGAAAGCCCAUCGCUCAACGAUGGAACUGCCAUUGAUACUGUAAGGCUUGAGUACAGACGAGGUAGGCGGAAUUGAUGGUGUAGCGGUGAAAUGCAUAGAUACCAUCAAGAACACCGAUUGCGUAGGCAGCUCGCUGGGACGUCACUGACGCUGAGACGCGAAAGCGUGGGGAGCAAACAGG
rnacentral:rRNA from 1 species